CAACAGGGAUUGCCUCAGUAACGGCGAGUGAAGCGGCAACAGCUCAAAUUUGAAAUCUGGCUCUUUCAGGGUCCGAGUUGUAAUUUGCAGAAGAUGCUUUGGGUGAGGCACCGGUCCAAGUUCCUUGGAACAGGACGUCAUAGAGGGUGAGAAUCCCGUACGUGAUUGGUACCUUUGCUCGUGUAAAGCUCUUUCGACGAGUCGAGUUGUUUGGGAAUGCAGCUCAAAAUGGGUGGUAAAUUUCAUCUAAAGCUAAAUAUUGGCCAGAGACCGAUAGCGCACAAGUAGAGUGAUCGAAAGAUGAAAAGCACUUUGGAAAGAGAGUUAAACAGUACGUGAAAUUGUUGAAAGGGAAGCGCUUGCAACCAGACUUGGGCGUCGUUGAUCAUCCGGGGCUCGCCCCGGUGCACUCGGCGGCGCGCAGGCCAGCAUCGGUUUCGGUGGGCGGAUAAAGGCCUUGGGAAUGUGGCUCUUCGGAGUGUUAUAGCCCUCGGUGCAAUGCGCCCUAUCGAGACCGAGGACCGCGCUUCGGCUAGGAUGCUGGCGUAAUGGUUGUAAGCGACCCGUCUUGAAACACGGACCAAGGAGUCUAACAUCUAUGCGAGUGUUUGGGUGUCAAACCCAUACGCGAAAUGAAAGUGAACGGAGGUGAGAACCCUUUAGGGUGCAUCAUCGACCGAUCCUGAUGUCUUCGGAUGGAUUUGAGUAAGAGCAUAGCUGUUGGGACCCGAAAGAUGGUGAACUAUGCCUGAAUAGGGUGAAGCCAGAGGAAACUCUGGUGGAGGCUCGCAGCGGUUCUGACGUGCAAAUCGAUCGUCAAAUUUGGGUAUAGGGGCGAAAGACUAAUCGAACCAUCUA
rnacentral:rRNA from 1 species